rnacentral:lncRNA from 1 species
CGAUCCUAAUCGACUGCGGCGCCUCCGCCGCAACCGUAAUCACCGGCCGGAGGUGGCAACCGGACGGCGACUUCAUAUCCGCCGGAACCUCCAAAAACGUCUCCGAACAAGUCCUCGACCAAGUCCUAUCCACCGUCAGAUCCUUCCCUCUCACUCGCCGCCGUUAGUGUAAUUUUAAAAUUUCUAAACACAUUUUCCUUUUUAUUAAUGUAUAUUAAACUCUCUUUCAUGGUACAUGGGCAUCGUUUAUUUUUUUGUCAACUAAUUUAGUCAAACUUCAUAAUACUCUUUAAAUUGGUGGACUACCCACUAUAAAAUCGCUAUUCUCUUGAAAAACAGAGACAAUAAAGUUUCCAAACCUCUUUGACAUUCAUCAUAUGUUAGUGAAGGAUGCAACUAUGAAUUAAAACAGUGUUUUCUUGUUUUAAAAAAUAUCUCAAAUUCUACGUGUUAACCCCUACGAAAAUAUUGAAUUUUCGGUAAAUGCUCUAUAUACUGAAGCCUAUGAUCUUUAGUGUUGUUUUUAAAAUUUCUAAACACAUUCUACAUUUGUAUUAAUGUAUAUUAAACUCUCUUUCAUGGUACAUGGACAUCGUUUUAAUUUUUUGACUAUUAAUUUAGUAAAACUUCAUAAUACUCCCUAAAUUGGUGGACUAACAAAUCUAAAAUCGCUAUUUUCUAGAGAAACGGAGACAACAAAAGUUCUAAACCUCUUUGACAUUCAUCAUAUGUUAGUGAAGGAUGCAACUACGCAUUAAAACAGUAUUUUUCAUAUUUUUGAAUUUUUCUCAAAAUCUAUGUGUUAACCCUUACGAAAUAUUGAGUCUUUCGGUAAAUGUUCUAUAUACUGAAGCCUAUGAUCAUUAGUGUUGUUUUAAAAUUUCUAAACACAUAUUCCCUUUUUAUUAAUGUAUAUUAAACUCUCUUUCAUGGUACAUGGGCAUCGUUUUAGUUUUUUGUCAAUUAAUUUAGUAAAACUUCAUAAUAUUCUUUAAAUUGGUGGACUACCCACUAUAAAAUCGCUAUUCUCUAGAAAAACGGAGACAACAAAGGUUUCAAACCUCUUUGACCUUCAUCAUAUGUUAUUGAAGGCUGCAACUAUGAAUUAAAACAGUAUUUUUCAUAUCUUUAAAAAAAUUUCAAAAUCUAUGUGUUAACCCCUACGAAUAUAUUGAAUUUUUCUGUAAAUUCUCUAUAUACUGAAGCUUAUGAUCUUUAGUGUUGUUUUUAAAUUUCUAAACACAUUAUACAUUUGUAUUAAUGUAUAUUAAACUCUCUUUCAUGGUACAUGGGCGUCGUUUUAAUUUUUUGUCUAUUAAUUUAAUAAAACUUCAUAAAACUCUCUAAAUUGGUGGACUAACCACUAUAAAAUCGCUAUUUUCUAGAGAAACGGAGACAACAAAAGUUUCAAACCUCUUUGACCUUCAUCAUAUGUUAGUGAAUGAUGCAACUAUGCAUUAAAACAAUAUUUUCAUAUAUUUGAAUUUUUCUCAAACCCCUUACGAAAAUAUUGAAUUUUUCGGUAAAUGCUCUAUAUACUGAAGCCUAUGAUCUUUAGUGUUGUUUUAAAAUUUCUAAACACAUUCUGUAUUAAUGUAUAUUAAACUCUCUUUCAUGGUAUAUGAACAUCGUUUAAAUUUUUGGUCAAUUAAUUUAGUAAAACUUCAUAAUACUCUCUAAAUUAGUGGACAACAAUACUUCAUAAUAUUAACCACUAUAAAAUCGUCAUUCUCUAGAAAAACAGAGACAACAAAAGUUUUAAACCUCUUUGACCUUCAUCAUAUGUUAGUGAAUGAUGCAACUAUGCAUUAAAACAGUAUUUUUAUAUUUUUGAAUUUUUCUCAAAAUAUAUGUGUUAACUAUAUUAGUCUAUAGAAACUAAAUAAAUCUGAAAUAUUGAGAGAAGGUGGGGUAUUAGAUCUAGAAGUUUGAUAGAAUUUGAAAGAAUUAUAGUUUUCAUUAAAUUCUAAUGUUAUUAAAUUAAGGAUUUCAUCAAAUUUUUCAAAAUUUUGUAUUAUUUGAUUAAAGAUUUGUAAUCAAUUUUCUAAUUCUUUUAAAUUCUAAUGUUAUUCAAAUAUUUGGUAGAUUUUAUAGUAAUGUUAUUUAAAAUGAAUUUAAUGAAAAAGGUAAUGUAAAAAUGCGAAGAACCAAUUUCGUACUCUUACGAGGAGAUUUGUCAUCGUAAAAAAACACAACAUAAAGUUAAGUCUGAAUCGAACCGGGACUAGUUGACCGUCGAUAUAAUUAUAAAUUAUUUUCACAUAGACCGUAACAGAAAUAACAGAAUAAGAUAAUAUUAUUUUCUGAAGAAAACCAAAAAUAAAAAGGGAAAUACAAAAGAAUCGUCUCCUUCCUCGCUGACUCUGACCUAUCUAUAUACUGAAACCUAUGAUCUUUAGUGUUGUUUUAAAUUUUCUAAACACAUUCUUCCUUUUUAUUAAUGUAUAUUAAACUCUCUUUCAUGGUACAUGGGCAUCGUUUAUUUUUUUGUCAACUAAUUUAGUCAAACUUCAUAAUACUCUUUAAAUUGGUGGACUACCCACUAUAAAAUCGCUAUUCUCUUGAAAAACAGAGACAAUAAAGUUUCCAAACCUCUUUGACAUUCAUCAUAUGUUAGUGAAGGAUGCAACUAUGAAUUAAAACAGUGUUUUCUUGUUUUAAAAAAUAUCUCAAAUUCUACGUGUUAACCCCUACGAAAAUAUUGAAUUUUCGGUAAAUGCUCUAUAUACUGAAGCCUAUGAUCUUUAGUGUUGUUUUUAAAAUUUCUAAACACAUUCUACAUUUGUAUUAAUGUAUAUUAAACUCUCUUUCAUGGUACAUGGACAUCGUUUUAAUUUUUUGACUAUUAAUUUAGUAAAACUUCAUAAUACUCCCUAAAUUGGUGGACUAACAAAUCUAAAAUCGCUAUUUUCUAGAGAAACGGAGACAACAAAAGUUCUAAACCUCUUUGACAUUCAUCAUAUGUUAGUGAAGGAUGCAACUACGCAUUAAAACAGUAUUUUUCAUAUUUUUGAAUUUUUCUCAAAAUCUAUGUGUUAACCCUUACGAAAUAUUGAGUCUUUCGGUAAAUGUUCUAUAUACUGAAGCCUAUGAUCAUUAGUGUUGUUUUAAAAUUUCUAAACACAUAUUCCCUUUUUAUUAAUGUAUAUUAAACUCUCUUUCAUGGUACAUGGGCAUCGUUUUAGUUUUUUGUCAAUUAAUUUAGUAAAACUUCAUAAUAUUCUUUAAAUUGGUGGACUACCCACUAUAAAAUCGCUAUUCUCUAGAAAAACGGAGACAACAAAGGUUUCAAACCUCUUUGACCUUCAUCAUAUGUUAUUGAAGGCUGCAACUAUGAAUUAAAACAGUAUUUUUCAUAUCUUUAAAAAAAUUUCAAAAUCUAUGUGUUAACCCCUACGAAUAUAUUGAAUUUUUCUGUAAAUUCUCUAUAUACUGAAGCUUAUGAUCUUUAGUGUUGUUUUUAAAUUUCUAAACACAUUAUACAUUUGUAUUAAUGUAUAUUAAACUCUCUUUCAUGGUACAUGGGCGUCGUUUUAAUUUUUUGUCUAUUAAUUUAAUAAAACUUCAUAAAACUCUCUAAAUUGGUGGACUAACCACUAUAAAAUCGCUAUUUUCUAGAGAAACGGAGACAACAAAAGUUUCAAACCUCUUUGACCUUCAUCAUAUGUUAGUGAAUGAUGCAACUAUGCAUUAAAACAAUAUUUUCAUAUAUUUGAAUUUUUCUCAAACCCCUUACGAAAAUAUUGAAUUUUUCGGUAAAUGCUCUAUAUACUGAAGCCUAUGAUCUUUAGUGUUGUUUUAAAAUUUCUAAACACAUUCUGUAUUAAUGUAUAUUAAACUCUCUUUCAUGGUAUAUGAACAUCGUUUAAAUUUUUGGUCAAUUAAUUUAGUAAAACUUCAUAAUACUCUCUAAAUUAGUGGACAACAAUACUUCAUAAUAUUAACCACUAUAAAAUCGUCAUUCUCUAGAAAAACAGAGACAACAAAAGUUUUAAACCUCUUUGACCUUCAUCAUAUGUUAGUGAAUGAUGCAACUAUGCAUUAAAACAGUAUUUUUAUAUUUUUGAAUUUUUCUCAAAAUAUAUGUGUUAACUAUAUUAGUCUAUAGAAACUAAAUAAAUCUGAAAUAUUGAGAGAAGGUGGGGUAUUAGAUCUAGAAGUUUGAUAGAAUUUGAAAGAAUUAUAGUUUUCAUUAAAUUCUAAUGUUAUUAAAUUAAGGAUUUCAUCAAAUUUUUCAAAAUUUUGUAUUAUUUGAUUAAAGAUUUGUAAUCAAUUUUCUAAUUCUUUUAAAUUCUAAUGUUAUUCAAAUAUUUGGUAGAUUUUAUAGUAAUGUUAUUUAAAAUGAAUUUAAUGAAAAAGGUAAUGUAAAAAUGCGAAGAACCAAUUUCGUACUCUUACGAGGAGAUUUGUCAUCGUAAAAAAACACAACAUAAAGUUAAGUCUGAAUCGAACCGGGACUAGUUGACCGUCGAUAUAAUUAUAAAUUAUUUUCACAUAGACCGUAACAGAAAUAACAGAAUAAGAUAAUAUUAUUUUCUGAAGAAAACCAAAAAUAAAAAGGGAAAUACAAAAGAAUCGUCUCCUUCCUCGCUGACUCUGACCUGUUCCUCUAACUCUCUCUGCUUCUUUGUCAUUUUCUCUCUCAUCUCUGGAGCUGGAGGGUCAACCCCUCCCUCCUUCCCACCUAAACCCUCUUUUCUCCUUUCUCUCUCUCUCUUUCAUGCUAACUGCUUCUCCGCCGCCAUGUCCCAUCUCCGCCUCAUCCUCCUCGCCGUUCUCUCCCUCGUCUCCUCCACUCUCUCUCAGCCCUCUCCUCCCUCCGGUAUGAUCUCCACCUCUCUUUAUCCGUAUCACUAUCUGUGAUCUCCUCUCAAUUUCCCGGUUUUCGAUUUUUCAGCGAUCCUAAUCGACUGCGGCGCCUCCGCCGCAACCGUAAUCACCGGCCGGAGGUGGCAACCGGACGGCGACUUCAUAUCCGCCGGAACCUCCAAAAACGUCUCCGAACAAGUCCUCGACCAAGUCCUAUCCACCGUCAGAUCCUUCCCUCUCACUCGCCGCCGCAAGUUCUGCUACGUCGUCGCCGUCUCCCGCGGCUG